CCUUAAAUAGAUAGAAAUAAAUUCUCUCCUUAUGGAGUUACAACAUCUGAUUUUUAAUACAUCAAUCCCAGGUCAUACUAACCUUAAAACUCAAAUGUGAAAACAAGUAAUAAGUCUUACACAAUUUUUAACAUAAGUCUGAAACAUAAAUAUAUCAAAUAAACAACAAGUCUUCAUCACUUGUUGAUCUUGCCCUUGCAUUUGCUAGAAGAAGGCUCGUCAGACCUUUCAUUCUUAACUGUAAUGUUAUUAUUACGCAAGAGUGAGAAUGAUUUCCCACAAAAAUAAUAAUAUAAUAAUAAAAUAAUAACAUGCGAGUGAGUCAAAAACUUCUGAAAUAAGAACUCGACUUUUGAAUCAAGAAUGAAUAACAAGAAUCAAAAGAACUUCUGAGGGUCAUAAGACCUUGAACUAUGUCCUAGGUUGUCAAGUGUUUAUACUUGAAACCUUUAAUAGUCAUAAGACUAUGGACUCUUCUUCUCGUACUUAGGGGGAUCAACCCUUAGUACCAUACUGUGCACAAUAUCUUAACGCUAAAGCAUCAAUAAUACCUUAUAACAGGGUUGUUCAUCUCAGUUUGUCAUUGGAGUCCACACCAAAGGAAGUUUAGUUUGGAUUAACUUCAAGGGAAAUUUAGAGUUCAAUAAUCAUCAACUAAAGAUUAGUUCAAUCAAUAAGGAAUCGCUAUAUAUUUAAGGUUUCAAUGCAAUAUCAAAAUAAAUAAUCAAAUCAAAUAUUGGAUCUCAAUUCUAUACAAUUGAAUGAACUUUGUACAAUAAAAGUAAUACUUCAAAAGAAUUAGAACAUUUCAUUUGGAAUCAUAAACUUGAAUAAUUAAACUUUGAACAGUUCGAAAUAAGGAUACGAAGCUUGCUCAAUAAUAAUAAGAUUUAAGAACUUGCUCAAUGUAAGAAUAGGGUUUGGAAACGUGCCUCGUGCGUAGAUUACACGCUUACUAUUCAUGUUCCUCAACUUAAUCCUACACACAUCAUAUGUAUUCACAACAUUUAUUAGUUACAUUUAUAAGUUUAGCUCCCACUUUCAGUAUAACUUGUUAACUUAGUUUAAGUUCUGCUUAUUACCAUUAUUCACAUAUACAUGACGUCAUCCGAAGUUGAGCUUCGACCGAAGCUGAACUCCAAAUUUUCGAUUUCCGAAGUCAUGACGCCAUCCGGAGCCGAACUUCGGUCGAAGUCGAACUCUGACUCCGAAGACAUAUGACGCCAUCCGAAGUCAAAUUCCGACCGAAGCUGAACUCUGUCUCUGAAGACAUAUGACGCCAUUCGAAGUCAAAUUCUGAUCGAAGCCGAACUCUGACUUCGGGGACUUAUGACACGACUACCCAGUAUCUAAUUCUGUAGUUCGCGAAUGAGCACAGCAAAAAACCAAAUUAGGCCAAAACUUCAUAUAACAAAAAAUUCAAUAUUACCCUUGUGUUUUGAACUUAACAGAAACAUCUAAUGACAUUCUUAGCAUGUUUUUAACAACUUAAAUCACAUAAACAACUGAAUUUGAACUCAUAAUUUUCAUGUUCUUGUCAUUUUUCAAAAAUUCGUCAAAUUUCAUGAAAUCACAAUUUACAGAUUCGUUAUAACACCAAAUCAGUCCGUUUAAGUUUCAUUCUUUUCAUUUUUACAUGUAUGAACAUAAUCAUUCAUCAAUUUACCAAUUAAUAUGAAAUUGAAGCAUGAUUUUUUGUACUUUCAAGCCAUAUUCAUGUGUUCUUACUCUGCAGACUAUAAAACUCCAAUUACGACACAUUUAUAUGAAAUUGAUGGUUUGAAAACAUACAUAGAUGGUAGAAAACAUGUUAUGAUUAUAUAUUAUCAUGUAUAUACACAGACAUCAUCAAUUCAUGCAUUGAUCAUACAAAAAUUAUUUUACAGAGAACUCAAAACAUCCGUUAAUGGAAAAACUCUGAUUCUAGCAUGUUUACAUAAAAUCGAUUACUCUAAUCACAUUAAUAUAUGAUAUAAACAUAUUGUAAACAUAUACUAACAUAUAUAGCAUCAUAUACUCAUCAAUUAUCAAUCUCUUCAAUCACAGAAGACUUUGAGAUAGUUGUUGAUAGAAAAUAUAAGAACGUAAAUUAAAGUUUGGGUUGAAGAGAUUACCCUGCUAGUUUGUGUAUAUGAUUCAAAAAUGAUGAAGUUCUUCUCUACUUCUUCUUCAAUUCACACUUUCUCUCAAUUUUCUCUCUAAACUCUCUAUAUAUUUCUCUAAGUUUCCCUAUGAUGAAUGAUAUAAGAUAUAAGUUAUAAACCUGAUAUAUAAUUAUAUGUAUAGAUAAACUGACAUUGUUGUGGGCAGUUAAUCCCUUAGUGGGUUAACUAGCCAACUCCUCCUAGGACCAUGUUUGGCUAGCCUCAUAAAUACUCUUCCCCACUUAAUUUAAUUAAACUCUUAUCAUAUAAUUUAAUAAUGUCACACUCAAUUAAGCAAUUAAUCAAAUAUCUUAUUUAAUUCAAUAAAAUAGAAUAAUUCCACAUUAAAUCACAUAGUCACAUAAUUAAAUUCUCAUUUAUUAUUUAUAACAAAUAAAUAAAUCUCUAAUUAAUUAUUUAAUUAAUUAGAAGUCACAUAAUUAAAUUCUCAUUUAUUAUUUAUAACAAAUAAAUAAAUCUCUAAUUAAUUAUUUAAUUAAUUAGAAGUCACAUAAUUAAAUUCUCAUUUAUUAUUUAUAACAAAUAAAUAAAUCUCUAAUUAAUUAUUUAAUUAAUUAGAACAACAUUAAAAUUAAGUAAAAAUUCAUUUAAUUUAUUUAUCCCAAUUAAAUUCUCACUUUGAUCUAUAAAAUUACUCCACAUUAAUUUAAUUAAUGUAACACAUUUAAUUAAAUUAAUCUACCACAAUUCUAUCAAAUAUUUAUAUAACUCAAUAAAUGAAUUAACAAAAUAUUUAUUUAAUUCAAUAAAUAUUUAAAAAAAUUAUUACAAAAAUCUCGUUAGUCACACUAAGGGUAUUGUGUGGAGAAUUAUCAGUGAAAAAUAAAGAAAACGAAUGUUCCGAAGAUAUCUUCAGAACUUGUUGUGUUUAUUACAAGUUUGGUGAUAUAGUUCGAGUUAAGGAAUGUGUUAGUCGCAUUUAUAAACGAAGAGGUUUAAGGUGUUCAUGUUCUAUUUGAACAGAUCGGUGAUGAUGUGUGUAGAUGAUAGCUUGGUCUAAUUUAAGGCACAUGAAUAUCUGAAGGAACCCUUAUGAAUAUUGUUCAAAGUAUUAAGGAAAGAGUAUUAGUUUAUGAAAUUCACAGAAUGUGAAUUACGUAGGGAAGUAAGAAGUUCAAAGGUCUUUGACAUAUGCUCAAAAAGUAUGGAGUUAGAAGUAAGGUAUCCAAAAAAGUCGGAUGAAAAGUUAUAUGAAAAAGAAUUGUCUAACUAAUAUAGACAUAAUAAACAAGGCACAAUCUUAAGACUGAGAAAUGUAAGAAGAUAUGGCAUGCUAAUGAUAAAGAAAAAAAGAUUUAUGUUUGAUAAUGAUGGAAAUAUUAAGAAUAUUAAGAGUAAUUUGAGUUCUCGUAAUAUCAGAACUGAAAUAAGAAGGGUCACAAAAUGUGUCCAUUAGUGCUCGCAUUGACAGAAAGUCAAGGUGAAGUGAUGAAGUUGAAAUGAUUUGUAAGAAUUUCAGAAUGGAAAUAGGAGUACAUCACGAGGAAUUUUGUGAUAGGACUUUCAGUAAUGUGAAGAAGGUAAUAUAUGAUAUGAUGUAAAGUAUGUGUUUUAUGAGUCGAUGUAAUUAUAUCGAUUAAAGAUAAGUUUAAGUAAACUUUAUGUCAAUGAAAUUAUUUCCAGACAAAUGACCAGUGAACUCUGUACUAGAAUUGACAGUACUAACACUGCAAUCCAUGGUACAAACAGUUUAUUGAAACUGUUCUAUAUCCUAGACUUUUACUUUAGGAGAUUAACCUAAGUACCCUAUAUUGUGCACAACAUAACAAUCUAAUGACACAUUACAUGUCCUUUGAAAUCAUAUGUCCGAUAUAAUAUGCCCCUUUAAAAGGGUUGUUCGUUCACAACAUUAUAUAUGAGUCCGCACAUCAACAAAAUGGUUUGGAAAACAUUGAAUGAGAUUUUAUGAAUGAAUAAUAUAUCUCAACAGUUGUCUAACCAAAAUAAUGACAUUGUCCUUCUUUCAAUAUUAUCAAAAUAACUGAAUUUGAAGUAUUAAGGUACAAAUAAGUUGAAUAACUCGAAAAGACAACUUUUGAGUUAAAUAUUGCGAUAUAAACUUAUUUAAGAGAGAAAGGUUUGAUAUAUUUGAUAACAUCUUAACUAUUCUCUGAUUGGAAUAAAAAGGUUAUUUAACCUUGUAUUAUUCAUAAAUAAUGAAAAGACAGUUCGAAAUUUAGAGAACCUAUCCAUAUAUGAAUAAUCUCAGAAUACUUGCUCAAUAAAGAGUAAGAUUUAGAUACUUGCCUUGUUUGUAGACUAUUGGUACAAUUUCAACUUAACUUGUGUAUUCUUACAAAUCUUACAUAAUUAUUUGCAUUUACAAGCAUAUUAACCAAAUUGCCAAAUCAUAUAGCUUGUAUGUUCACAUACCACAUAAUCACAGUGAUCAUGUUUUUAGUUUAUGUUUCUAUACAUUUUUCAAAUACCUCAGCCAUGUUCUUACAAUAACCAUUUCUUUAUUUUAUAGGGUUUGACUUAUUCCCAGUCAUAACCCUUAUAUGAUUUUAGUUCAUAUUUCUCUUCUUCUUUCAUGUUAUAAAUAUACUUUGCAAUCUUCUUUAUAAUUUAGGUAUUCAAGGUGAAUACGUAAGGUAUUUCUUGAAUUGAAUAUGAUUUUAUAUCAUAAGGUUAGAACUUUUGUUUCCAAUUUGCUUUGAUAAUCUACAUCUUUACUUUCCUUGUUUUGUAGAUUCAUUUCAAGGCACUAUUACUUUAACCAUUCUUGAUUCCCUUAGUGAUACCCAAGGCAGCCCUCUAACGUUUUAUUUCAGAGUUUGCCAACUCAUUUAUACAAAUUUUGAGUAUCUUGAAGAUUCAUUCAUAUCAACUAGUGUGCUAAGGCUAACAUGUUUUAAGAUUAUACCCAAAACAGUCCCUUUCUAUAUUCUUUUAUGUUUUGGAAUAUUCACAACUUAGUUGAGCAAUUCAUAGCUUCUCUCAAUACUAGUAGAUUUAUUACAUAAUGCAAACAUUUUUGUUGUUUCUUUUUAAUGCCAAAACAGUCACAAUUUAAUCCACUAUUUAGCACUCGAGCUUUGUGUGGCCACACUUGGCCUCAUGGCCCUAUUCGAACCUAGCAGUCAUAUCAUUGGCUUAACAGCCCCAAGUAUAAUAUAACUACUAAGUUAUUUACACAGAAUUAUAACUAUAUCAUUACUUCUAUUUACAUACUUAUUUAGGCAAUUAGUUAAUUUCUCAAAUUACAUUUCUAGUUUAAACUAGACUGCCCAAAACCACCUUAGCAAUAACUCAUAGUUGCAGCCUUCAUUGCCAACUGCUGCUGCCCAUAGGCAGCAGCUGCACCUGCUUUCUUUCCUUGAUUUGACUCCCUAUAAUCUUGGUUCACUUGCACUUCAUUUGAAUGCACUUCAUUUGAACGUUACACAAUUAAUAUAUUCAAGUAUUAUGGUAACUUAAAUUUAUAGCGAAACUAUAACCUACAUGAACCAAAAUGUUAACCAAACUAACCCUUGCUAUUGCGAAUUGAGAAAGUCAACUGCAAAUAGCAGCAGUUCCCAACAAUUAGCUUCCAUUUCUCUAGCUUUUAAUUUAUAAUUUAAUAAUUUUAGUAUGCAAAAAUCUUGGGGUUUAUAUAGGUAAUAUAUUCAACUAUUUAGAAAUAUACACACUAAUUGGUUUAGUUCCUUUAAUGGCAUUGACUGAGAAUUCAAGAGAGUCCCCAGCCCAUGUCAAGCACUGCGCAUGCUGCCAAAUGUCUGCCAAAGGGCAGCAGCUCUUAAACUCCUUUGCUUCAUAUUUUGGUCCCAUCUAAAUUUCUUAAAUUAUCUUACCAAUGGUCAAAACACAUUCUAAACUAACCUAACAUGUAAGUUAAGUCAACUGCCUGGCUCUGCAGUGCAGCGCAGCACAGCGCUGGGCGCUGGCUGCUGCUGCCUGCAGCAGCCCCGGCGAACUCAACAAUUCCCCUCCUUUGCAAAUCUUAUAUACUCUAUUUAGAUAAAUUGUAAAACGACACAUUUAAACAUUCUAACUAUGCUGGCUGAGAGCUCAACGGAGAACCCCUAGCUCGGCCGCUGCAACUGCUGCUGUCAAAGACAGCAGCUCUGCAUCCACAUGGCCAUUUUCUCACUUCAAUACUCCUAAUCCAUAUGAUGGUUUACAUCCAUUUUUUAUACAUAUAGCAUAUAGUAUAAGAGAGUAUGUCUAGAAUUUAUAAAACUUCCGCUUCAAGCUUACUAGGCUGCCCAAUAAAAUAAUUAAAGUUGUCUUGACAUACCACUUUUUAAUUUUUCACUUUGGCUUGAGAUUGAAUUUUGUUUCAUUAUAAUAAGCUUAAACUCUCUAAAUAUCAUGACAUAUGUUUUAUAAACUCAACCGAAGCUCUAGUUUGGUUUAAUAUUUAGAUUUAUAGCCAAAAUAGUUCUUUUAGAACUUUUAUCAAACAGCUGGUGGGCACGGUUUUAAGCUACCAGUUUCACAGCCAUUUGUUUAUGUCACAUAAACAUUUUAUUCUCCUUAUUACUCCUCAGCCCAACCCAUCUCUUCUAUUCAAAUUCAAUCACCAACAGUUCAAAGUUCAGCCAUCUUUUGAAUACCAAAACAGUCCAUAUAGAGCAAUUUAGGCAUGGUUUAGUACCAUUACACCAAAACAGUACCAAGCAUUGAAUUUCAUGCAUUACCACGACAAGUACUUACUAUAUACUAUAUUUUUCAUAGUUAAAAACAUAUGGAUGCAAUACCUUAAGAUUUUGUUCAAAACAGUCUUUAGUAGGCUUUAUACUUUCAUGAAAACAUGGGUUGACAACUUAGUCAAUAACAUAACAUGUUUAUGUGACAUACAAAUAUGAACUAGCUAUUUACAUAAAAUUUAACAUGUAUAUCUUUGAUUUGGAUGGUUUAAAAUAUUAUACACAUAACAGUCCUCAUUUAGUCACUUUAUCAAAUAGAUGGUGGGCAGUCCCCAUACUGUUAUAUUGUACAUAUGCUUCUAGCUCUUUUACUCAAGCCUUAUGGCUUUAAAACAACCAUGAUUCUCCUAUUAGUCAAGCAUAAUGACAACUAUAGCAAACACAACCAUCUUGUACAUAAAAGUUAUUAUAGAAAACCCACAAUCAAUACUAAAGUGUACUAAUAUGGUCAGAAAGCCAUUCGGCCAAAAUAGUCCUAUUUUGCUUAUUGACAAUGGAAUAGAAAAAGAAGGGAAGCAGUUAAAACGAAAUUACCAUACUAGCUUCUAAAAUUUAGGUAUUUUGAUUUUCCUUCCUUUUCAGCCGGAAGCUCUGCAGCAAAAUACAACCCAAAUUCUCUUUGAAUGGUUGGCUGGGAUGAGGGUGAGGGGCUGCCUUUAAUGGCUGAGCUAUCUCCUUUUUCUGGCAGUCCUAUUAGCCUCUAGUUGGUCUCUACACAGCCACCUUAUCAAGCUCUCAGCCGUAAUUUCUAGUCUAGUCUACCCAACCCCUAUUAGAAGUGUCAGACUUCUGCCCCAAUAGUUGCUCUUUCCCUAGUUCUUGGAGGCAAGUCGUUGACUAUCAACUGAUCCCCCAGCCUAACUGAACUAUCACAACUGAACUAUCUUCACCAAAACUCAGUUCUCUAUCUCCCCAUUUGGGUUACCGAAUAUGGCUGAAGAAGGGGCUAGAUUUAGGUUUUGUGUUUGGGCUUAAUGCACAUGUCUAAUGUAGUGAUGACCCAUUACAUUUGGAGAUAAGCUUGAGAAAAUACAUAUAAAAUUUAUUAGGGUCCAAA
rnacentral:lncRNA from 1 species